CCCCUCAAAGCCCUUAUGGUCUUCUUUUGCCCUACUCUCCAAACAGUGCAGAUGACCAAAGAGUGGAUUUCUUCCCUGUAUAGAAAGUCUCUGUGUGUGACCUCUGGAGACCCAUGCACACACAGGCAGGAUCCCCACUUGCAAAAUAUGUAGAUGUUGCAGAUUUUCCCCACACAGAGGUGUCCUUGCCCCUAAGUUUCACCUUACAAGGGCAAGACAAAUUACAGGAGGACUGCAAGCAAAAUGCUACAAGAGGUAUUUCACCCAGCACACCAGCUAAUCAAACCAGACAGCAUAGCCCAGAUAUCAGACCCAAGCAUCGAAUGCCUCGAGGAGCUGUCAGUGUGUGCUCUCCUGACAAGACUGACUGAAUAUGUAUGGAAAUAAGCUGAGAAAGAAAAUUUCCUGACCAGGCCUUAUUAUCUACUCUGCCAACCUUCACUGAGGUGCAGCCAUAUCACAACUACUAGCGCUCAAGGGACCUGGAAAGAAUAAAGUCACAACAUGUGAAACAACCCUACACCCUCCUGGGCAAAGAAAAUCUGUAAGGAAGCUCUUUCCAGCACAUUCAAUAUUCCUUAUUGAAGAAGUCAUUGCAGAAAACUUACUUCAUCCUCAAAAAUUAAACAUUCACUCCUGACAUCCAACUAUUUCCUCUCUAGUUCCUCAUGCCUGAGAAAAUAAAUCAGAGAGUUACAGUCCCCUUGCUCCAACCUCCAGGUGACACUGCUCUGUGCCAGGCUGCACAAAAGGUGUUGAGAUGUGCUCACACGAACAAAGGUUUAUCAGACUGCUCUGUGGAAGAGCUAAGGCUGCUUUUGGGGAAAAAUUGUAACACAAUUGUUGUCUGGUUGUUAAGCCUUGUGCAGGCAUGGCACUGGGCUCCCUAAAGCAAACCAAAACGGCAGGGAAAGAGGGAAGGGAAGGACAGGUACCCCCAGAUCCCUGUGUGCCCCAGGGCCAGGGCUCACACAAGGCUCCACAGGCACCUUGGGGAGGGAAAGGCAGGGAGCUGUACACUCUGUUCAUGGGAUCUGCCCUUUAUGCCUCAUUUCCAGCUGGGAACAUACUUUCCCAUGCUGCACAGCUUGCACUACCAGCUGCUUUUAGAAGCACAAUAUUUUAUAGGGAAUUUUACUUAAAGCUCUGGUUAGAGGUUUAUAACCCCUUGAGCUUUACACAGCUGAGUUCCCAGUACUGAGAUGUCCGAUUUUACAGGGCAAGAGAUACUACAGUCCUAUAAUAAGUUUCACAGCUCUUUAAAACAUUGUGAGUAGGCUUUUACUUUCAAAUAGAAUACACCAAGUAGGGAUGGCAUGAAGCAGUAAUGAAUAUCUGAAAAAUUAUGAAGGGAAGUAGCACAGGAACUGACAUUUUUCACAUCUUUAUUUUAAUCACCUUUAUUUUGGGCCUCAAGAGCAAGCACUGUGCAUGGGGUACACUUGGAAAGCUGGAAAUCUCUCAUUGGCUCAAAAUUUCUGUUUCUAUCUCUGUUCAAACCCAGAUAAAAUUUUCCCAAGAUAAAUUAUACCCUGAUUAUGGGUUUGUGUCUCAUUGCUCACCACAAACAGGACCAUUAGGUUCACACAAUGCACACUAAUUGCCUGCCACCUAGUUUAUUUCAUUCUCUGUGAUGAAUCACAAGUCUUAACAAGACCAGAAACAGAAUUUAACUGAUAGAGGGUGAGCUGAGACUUUUAGUUCUGUGCAGCAAAUCAAUCCCCUGCCCUGCACAGAGAAGCUGCCUGAACCCAGGCUGGCAGGACACAUAGUGUGUGCAUUGUGCACGAGCCAG